GUUGUUGCGGUUAAAAAGCUCGUAGUCUGAGGUCUGUUCCGGACUGGCUGGGGAGGUCACCGCCCGGUGCUUCCCCGUCAGGUUCCGAACAGCUUCUGCCGCGAGCGGAAGCCAUGCCGGUUCUCUCGGGGUGCUCUUGACCGAGUGUCCCGUGUGGCCGGCAGGUUCACCUUGAACAAAUGAGAGUGCUCAAAGCAGGCUACUCUUAAAACUAAAGCCCGAAUGUUAACUGCAUGGAAUGAUGAAAGAUGAUCUCGGUUGUAUUUUACUGGCUUGUGAUAAAUCCGAGUUAAUGAUAAACAGGGACUGUCGGGGGCAUCCGUACUACGACGCGAGAGGUGAAAUUCAGUGACCGUCGUAGGACGAACAACAGCGAAAGCAUUUGCCAAGAAUGUCUUCGUUGAUCAAGAACGAAAGUUAGAGGAUCGAAGGCGAUCAGAUACCGCCCUAGUUCUAACCCUAAACGAUGCUAACUAGCUAUUCGCCGUCGUUAUUCCCAUGACGUGGCGAGACGCCCCCGGGAAACCUCAAGUCUUUGAGUUCCGGGGGUAGUAUGGUUGCAAAACUGAAACUUAAAGGAAUUGACGGAAGGGCACCACCAGGAGUGGAGCCUGCGGCUUAAUUUGACUCAACACGGGAAACCUCACCAGGCCCGGACACCAGAAGGAUUGACAGAUUAAGAGCUCUUUCUCGAUUUGGUGGGUGGUGGUGCAUGGCCGUUCUUAGUUGGUGGAGUGAUUUGUCUGGUUAAUUCCGGUAACGAACGAGACUCUGGCCUACUAACUAGUGGAUGGGUGUUCUGACAGUGGGGCCCCAUCCGAUAAUGUCUUCUUAGAGGGAUGAGCAGCGAGUAUAGCUGCAGGAGAUUGAGCAAUAACAGGUCUGUGAUGCCCUUAGAAG
rnacentral:rRNA from 1 species